UACGAAGGGGGCUAGCGUUGUUCGGAAUUACUGGGCGUAAAGCGCACGUAGGCGGCUUUGUAAGUUAGAGGUGAAAGCCCGGGGCUCAACUCCGGAAUUGCCCUUAAGACUGCAUCGCUAGAAUUGUGGAGAGGUAAGUGGAAUUCCGAGUGUAGAGGUGAAAUUCGUAGAUAUUCGGAAGAACACCAGUGGCGAAGGCGACUUACUGGACACAUAUUGACGCUGAGGUGCGAAAGCGUGGGGAGCAAACAGG
rnacentral:rRNA from 1 species